rnacentral:tmRNA from 1 species
GGGGGUGACUGGCCUCGACUUAGGUUGGCGAGGUAUAGGUGGCAUGCCGAGGAAGCCUGGUUGGCCUCGUUAAACCUCUAGGCACAACUAAACGCAAACGAAACAGCGCAAGCUGAAAUCGAUGCCGCGAAUGAAAUCGUGAAUAACGUUUUCAAACGCGCAACAGUCCCUGUCUAAUAGCACAGGGCCGUUUUGGGAGAGAUGCCUGCGAUCUUUCAAAACGUCAUUAGCAGGAUAGUUCUAAAUUGCGCUUUCGGAUUUAGGACGAACCUUAAGAAAGCUAAUCUUGUUUACGUUUGUUUAUUUAAAGAAACAAGAUGAUUCGCCUCACGGCGAAAAAAUAAACUAAGCAUGUAGAGGCCUAUACUGAAGAACUUAAGGACGCGAGUUCGAUUCUCGCCACCUCCACCA